rnacentral:rRNA from 1 species
UACGUAGGGGGCUAGCGUUGUCCGGAAUCAUUGGGCGUAAAGAGCGUGUAGGCGGUCCGGUAAGUCCGCUGUGAAAGUCGGGGGCUCAACCCUCGAAUGCCGGUGGAUACUGUCGGGCUAGAGUGCGGAAGAGGCGAGUGGAAUUCCUGGUGUAGCGGUGAAAUGCGCAGAUAUCAGGAGGAACACCGGUGGCGAAGGCGGCAUCCUGGACCGGCAUUGACGCUGAGGCGCGAAAGCCAGGGGAGCAAACGGG